GAUGAACGCUGGCGGCGUGCCUAAUACAUGCAAGUCGAGCGAACAGACGAGGAGCUUGCUCCUCUGACGUUAGCGGCGGACGGGUGAGUAACACGUGGAUAACCUACCUAUAAGACUGGGAUAACUUCGGGAAACCGGAGCUAAUACCGGAUAAUAUAUUGAGCCGCAUGGUUCAAUAGUGAAAGACGGUUUUGCUGUCACUUAUAGAUGGAUCCGCGCCGCAUUAGCUAGUUGGUAAGGUAACGGCUUACCAAGGCAACGAUGCGUAGCCGACCUGAGAGGGUGAUCGGCCACACUGGAACUGAGACACGGUCCAGACUCCUACGGGAGGCAGCAGUAGGGAAUCUUCCGCAAUGGGCGAAAGCCUGACGGAGCAACGCCGCGUGAGUGAUGAAGGUCUUCGGAUCGUAAAACUCUGUUAUUAGGGAAGGACAAAUGUGUAAGUAACUAUGCACGUCUUGACGGUACCUAAUCAGAAAGCCACGGCUAACUACGUG
rnacentral:rRNA from 1 species